CCUCAGAAAACUUAUGGGAGUAGACCUCCUCAGUCUCCAGAACUCUUCUGUCCACUUCUUCUCUCUUCACCUUCUCUUUCCUUCCACGAAAUGGUGAUUGCCCAGCAAUCAUUUCAUAAAUGAGACAGCCCAGUCCCCAGUAGUCAGGGCUGAGUGUGUAUCUCUGGUUGUUCAACACUUCUGGGGCCAUAUACCCUACUGUUCCUACCCUUCCGCGGAUCGAUUCACCCUCAGGGAUUUUAACAGCUAGACCCAAAUCUGAUAUUCUAAUAUGGC
rnacentral:lncRNA from 1 species